rnacentral:rRNA from 1 species
AUUGAACGCUGGCGGCAGGCCUAACACAUGCAAGUCGAACGAGUGGCGGACGGGUGAGUAAUGUCUGGGACACUGCAUGACGGAGGGGGAUAACUACUGGAAACGGAAGCUAAUACCGCAUACCAGCAGAUGUGUCCAGACGGGAUUAGCUUGGUGGUGGGGGAACGGCUCCCCAUGGCGACUAUCCCUAGCUGUUCUGAGAGGAUGACCAGCCGGCCUGAAACUGGGACCCGGUCCAUGCACCUACGGUAGGCUACAGUGGGGAAUAUUGCACAAGGUGCGCAAGCCUGAUGCAGCCGUGCCGCGUGUAUGAAGCAGGCCUUCGGUUUGUAUAGUACUUUCAGCGGGGAGGCGUUCCCCGCAGAAGAAGCACCGGCUAACUCCGUGCCAGCAGCCGCGGUAAUUC